UACAGAGGUCCCAAGCGUUGGUCGGAUUCAUUGGGCGUAAAGCGUCUGUAGGUGGCUUUUUAAGUCCGCCGUCAAAUCCCAGGGCUCAACUCUGGACAGGCGGUGGAAACUACCAAGCUGGAGUACGGUAGGGGCAGAGGGAAUUUCCGGUGGAGCGGUGAAAUGCGUAGAGAUCGGAAAGAACACCGACGGCGAAAGCACUCUGCUGGGCCGACACUGACACUGAGAGACGAAAGCUAGGGGAGCGAAUGGG
rnacentral:rRNA from 1 species